CUGAGAAGCACUUUCUGUGUCUCGGCCCUUCCAUCAAUCUGGAAAAGAGGGAGGAAAGAGAGAUCAUUUGCUCCCGGUCUGUAGAGAACACAGGAUCACAGGGUGUCCAUGACAGCAGAGACUAGACAUGGCACCCUGCAUGGUACCCAGGAGGAAGGGAGGUAGCUUAGGUAGACACACCCCAAAGCCACGUGCUCGGCAGGGCUUCGGUCUUGUCAGUCAGUCACCCUGAACCCGAGUUCCUGCUUUUUGGACUGACUUUUCCAAAUACUAGGGUCCUCUCAAUGCCAAACAAGGACUUGCUAUAAGUUGUCUCUGUUAUGCUUGCAGACAGGAGUCUAUCAUGUCCUCUGAGAGGCUCCAACAGCUGUGGAUCAGACAGAUGCAAACAUCCACAACCAAACAGUGGAUGGAGCUUGGGGACUCUUACAGAAGAAUAGGAGGAAAGAUUGCAGCCCCUAAGGGGAUCAGAACUCCACAGGAAGACCACCAGCAUCAACUAACCUGGACCCUUGGGGCUCUCAGGGUCUGAACCACAAACCAAAAAACAUACACAGGCUGGCCCUAGGCCUCCCUGCACAUAUAUAGCAGAUGUGUAGCUUGGUCUUCAUGUGGUUCCUGAGUGAUAGUGAUAGGGGCUAUUCUAAAAGCUGUUGCCUGUAUGCAGGGUAUGUUCUUCUAGCUAGGCUGCCUUCUCAGGCCUCAGUGGGAAAGGAAGCACGAAGUCUUAUAGAGACUUGAAAUUUGAGGGAUGAGGACUACCCUGGAGGACCCCCACCCAUUCAGAGAAAAAGGACAUGGGAUGGCAUCAGGCCUCUUCACAGGCCCUGUUGCCCUGCCCCAAGUGUGAUCUCCACAUCCUGGAUGGAAGAUUUUGAGCUUAUGAUGUUAAAAAGGUCACAGAGUAGACUGACUGGCUCUCUCUGCAUGUCUGUUCUUGGCAAAGUGGUCCCAAGUCAUUUUUGAAAGACAACCAGUAUACCUUGUGAUUGCAUGAGAGUGUGUCUGAGUCUGUCAAGGCCCUGGGGUUUCAUUUCCCUCAGAGGAGAGAUGCUACCUCCAUGAAAGACUGGUGAGAAUGGAGGGAAGAACAUGUCUGCACAAGACCAGUGGUGGGGAAUGGAAUGGUGGAGAACAUCAGGAGAAUCAAGUCUGGGCACUCAGGGCUGGCAGCAGGACAGGCCUCAUUCGCCAAGGGUAAUAUGUGACCCAAGCUUAGCCUGCAAAGUAGCUGAACAUGCUAGCUCCCCCUCGCUGCCCUGCCUCCCCUCCUCAAAGCUAGGCAGAACAUCUGGCCUCUUGCUAACCCUCAACAGUUUGGCAAGGACUGUUAGGAACCUGGCUGGGCAGAACCAAAGGCUGGAAUGAGCCAAAGCAGGCCUUACUACCCUACAGAGGACCUGGAGCUUAUAGCUUAGAGAGUGACUACCCCAUCCUAAACAUUGGCUCCUGAAGCCUCUGCAGGGUUCUCUGAGGUUCUGGGUCUGCAGAAGUCGGGGAGCCAUCUAGGAGGAUGUACAGAGAAACACAGAUCUCAGCUCUCUGGCAGAAAAAGAUAAGAAAAAUGUAAAUAGUUGGCGGUCUGACUAAGAAAAUCUCUGCUGGAGUUGUUGUCUUGGCUCAUUGACAUUGAGAGUGACACGGGUCCUACUAAUCAUGCUUACUGAGGUCCUACUAAUCAUGCUUACUGAGGUCCUACUAAUCAUGCUUACUGAGGUCCUACUAAUCAUGCUUACUGGGGUCCUACUAAUCAUGCUUCUCCUGCUUUUGUUUUCUUCUGGGGAAUGAGGCCUGUGUUCACUCUGCUCUUUCUAAGCUGUGGAGAGAAAGGGAGAAAAAGGCUUGCAGACCCAACCUCCAAUACCACAGAAGUCUUUGGUCCCAGUCAAAGCUCUUUGGAGGUGAGUGGAAUUUCAACGAGGCUUCUGGAUGCAGGACAGAGGUUAUGUGGGACACAGGUCAUGAGUUGGACGUUUUUCCAGAGGCUCAUCUUUGCAACCCGGACCCUAGGAAAAAGCCUUUGGAAGCCGUGAUUCUGGAAGCUGUCCAACGUGAUAGCCAGGAAGCCACAUUGGCCUUGGCCAGUGGUUAGGGAGGAAUCUUCAGUCCCUCCCAGGAUCUGUGACUGUCAUUACUGCUGACAUGAGCUGACUUCAUCGCUCUGCUGGGCCACCAACAGCUCUGCUUCGGACUUACCAAAUCUAGACCCAGCAUGCAGGACCAGUCUCUUCCAGCAGCCCCCAGCAAGGGCGCCAUGGCGGCCACCUACUUUGCUCUGAACAGGACCCCACAGGCACCGAGGCUAGAGCCUGUGCUCUCAUCUAGCUUGGCCCAACGCAGAGGCAUGAAGAGACUCACGUCUACCAGGUUGUAGUGGCCAGCCAAGUCUCCAGCCUCAGUCGCCAUGCCCAACGUCCUCUCAGCCUCACAGACGCCAGACACAGGUCCUGUUCAUGGGCACUUGAGUGCCCAUGAGUCCAGCACAAAGAUGGAUCUGGCCUUGGCUAUCUCUCUGUUUCCUUUGCAGCCCUGGAAAGGGUCCUGCCCAGGAUGUCUGAGCCUUGCUGCGCCGACCUCUCCGCCUGCUCUCUCUCUCCUCCUGAGUGAAACCAAAUGAAUCUGUCACCUCAUAGCACCCUGCUGGGGCCUCCCUGGGCUCACUCAGGGCUCUCAGUGUCUCCAUGUCAUGGCUUAUGCCCAAAGCAGAGCUCUUUUACCAUC